AUAAAAUAAUUAUGUUUUUGGAAAUUUAUUAUAAAUUUAUUUUACAUAUAAAUUUUAGUAUAUAAUUUUAAUUAUUUAAAUAAUAAUUAAUUUAUUUUUAUAGUAAUUAAUAUUAAAAAUUUAAGAAAUUAAGAUUUAGUAAUAUAAAAAUUAAUAACUAAUUUUGUGCCAGCAGUUGCGGUUAAACAAAAGUUAAAUUAAAUUGUUUCAGUAUAUAAUAAAUAAUUAAUUUAUUAAAAUAAAUAUUAAAUUAUUAAGUGAAAUUUUAAUUUAAUUAAAUUUUAUUUUAAAAUUAUGAUUUAAUAAAUUUUAAUAUAAACUAGGAUUAGAUACCCUAUUAUUAAAAAUUUAAUUUAUAAUACUAAAAUAGUAAAUAAUAAUUUAUUGAAACUUAAAUAAUAUGGCGGUAUUUUAGUUCAUUUAGAGGAAUCUGUCUAAUAAUUGAUAAUCCACGAAUAAAUUUACUUAAUUUAUAAUUUUGUAUAUCAUUGUUAAAAAAAUAUUUUUUAGGAAAAAUAAUAUUUAAAAAUUAUAAUAAAAAAUUAAAUCAGAUCAAGAUGCAGAAUAUAAUUAAGAAUAUGAUGGAUUACAUUAAAUAUAUUUAUAUGAAUAAUUUUAUUGUAAUAAAAAUUUGAAGGUGGAUUUAAAUGUAAUUUUAAUUAGUUUAUUAAAAUGAUUAAAAAUUAAAAUAUGUACAUAUUGCCCGUCACUUUCAUUUAAAAAUUGAAAUAAGUCGUAACAAAGUAGAGGUACUGGAAAGUGUUUCUAGAAAGA
rnacentral:ncRNA from 1 species